UUUUGUGAUGAUGCGAGCGGAGGCGUUUUGAACCAGCUGGAUUUUAUGGAGGGACUUUUGAGGUAGGCCGAAGAGGAGAGCGUUACAGUAAUCAAGGCGGGAUGUGACAAGACUGUGGACCAGAAUGGCAGUGGUACGGGGGGUGAGGGAAGGGCGAAGUCUGGUAAUGUUGCGGAGGUGGAAAUAAGCAGUGCGGGUGAUGGUGUUGAUAUGUGAGUGGAAGGUGAGCAUGCUAUCCAGGAUGACACCCAGACUCUUGACCUGGGGGGAGGGGGACACUAAGGAGCUGUCGAUGUUGAGGGAGAAACUGUUUACUUUAGAUAAAGUGGAUUUGGUAGAUGAUGAAGAGAAGGGGACCUAGGACAGAUCCCUGUGGUACACCUGUGGUGACUGGGGAGGGCUUUGAGGUAAAGGAUUUGAGCUGAACAAACUGAGUGCGGCCGGUGAGGUAAGAGUGGAACCAACUGAGGGGAGUGUGGGAGAGACCAAUGGAGGAGAGUCUAUUGAGGAGGAUAGGGUGAGAGAUUGUGUCAAAGGCGGCGCUCAAGUCUAAGAGGAUGAGGAUGGAGACUAAACCGAAAUCAGAUGCUAUGAGAAGAUCAUUUACAAUACGGAUUAGUGCAGUCUCUGUGCUAUGGCGGGGGCGGAAGCCAGACUGAAA